rnacentral:lncRNA from 1 species
ACGGCCCUCCACCUCGGUGGCGUUCUGGUUGCUAUGCCCUUUUGUGGCUGUGACUGCCCGCCCUCACAACGGCCCGUUUUCUUCCCAGUGCUCUGAACUUUUGGGCAAAUGUGUCAAGUGUGUACACAGACAAAGCCUCACUUCAAAGCUCGUGUUCAGGGCCCUUAAAGUCAUAGUUAUUGCAAAACUGCGGCCGUCUGGCGAACCUGCCUUAUGUAAGGGUGCUUGAACGUAUGAUUCACCAAACAUUUCCGCAGACAUCGCAAAGUUGUUGGAGCCAGAGUAGGAGAAAGACCACCCAUUUGAGAUCAUGGCUUGACAGGGAACACUCCCUCCUGCCACCAGAAUGGGACCAAUCUAGACAUCUCUUCUCUGGCUUCCUUGUGCCUGGCCUUUUUUGGAGGGUUGGGAUAGUGGCCUGUCUUCAUGCAUGGUGAGAUAACACCAACAUCGAAGGAAGAUCUUUGCCACAGAGGAUCCUAGUUCCAGCUCCCAGAAUGACACUUUAACGGGAAAUCAUCUGAUUUUCUUUUUCUGGCCGUGAGACUAAUGGAAGUUUUCAUGUGAGUGUCCAAAGAGAUGAUCUUGGAGUCUGGGAUACAACCAAGGAAGGUAUCGGCCCCAACGCCUCCUAUCUUGUGGAUCGAGUUCCUGUGGAGGAAGCUAACACAGCGGUAAGCAAAUGUGGACUGACAGAGGACACAGGGCCAUUCGAGAAACUGUCAGAAACUGAGAAUCACCUCAGAACACGCUGAGAAGGAGAGCUAAGGAGCUUCGGUUAAAUGGACUACGAGGACCCACGUCAUAGAGGGAAGUCUGUCUCACUGAUUCUGAUUUUUUUCAAAUAAAAUGUUUUCUUUAAGAUA